CUUGUGUGUUACUCGUAUGUACUCGUAUGUACCUGUGUGUUACUCGUAUGUUACUCGUAUGUACUCGUGUGGUGUUUUAGUCACGAUCGUGUGAUGCACCGCAUUCUGGUUUAGGAUACUUUAUUGUACAUAUAUCAAGUUCAUACUACAAUAUAUAUAUACAUGAUCACUGUUUAGGGAAAGUACAUUUAUUAUGCCGAGGGGAGGGGGGGGGAUGGAUAUGUCUUGAAAAAAAGCUCAUAUUUUUACAUGGCCCCUGUUGAGAUUGUUGGUAAAAUAAAAGUUUGAAAAUAAAAGUUUGAAAAUAAAAGUUUGAAAAUAAAAGUUUGAAAAUAAAAGUUUGAAAAUAAAAGUUUGAAAAUAAAAGUUUGAAAAUAAAAGUUUGAAAAUAAAAGUUUGAAGUUCGUUCGUAGUCAGGAAGAAAGCCCGCAAAUACCGCC